GUGUGUGUGUGUGUGUGUGUGUGUGUGUGUGUGUGUGUGUGUGUGUACUUGUAUUUAUUACUUUGUUGGGCCCGGUGACCUGGAGCACACCAACAGUAUGGGGUCCAACAGCCUUGUGGGGCCCAAAAUAGUGGGCCCCACACCGUUUUUCAUUUAAACUGCCUCAGUAGCCUGUCCUGAUAUGCCUCAUGCUUUUUUUUCACUUACCCCACAAAGUGACAAAGUAUGGUUACGUGUGUUACACACUUUUUGCUCUCUAUCGCCCCCAUAUCUGAGAGUGGGGUAUUGCAGCAGAUACACACUACCGGAAGUGUGUGUCGUUUUAGCUCACGGAAGGGAGGAGCUGAUUAGUUUUAGUCAUAAACAGUGUUAAUUCCUUUUGUAAAAUCUAUAAUUCAACAUGUUUGGACUCUGUACCAACUGAAGAAACUCAACAGGUAACUUAUGUUUAUAUUAUUUGACUGUGCAUUUGAUUUAGUUCAAUUCCUACCCAUAUCGACAGAAUGAUGCUUAAUGAAAUACCAUUUUAAUCACACGGCUAAUUGCUAAUAGCCCACGGAAAGGGAGGGGCCAUUUAAAUGGGCUGUUUUACGGCAUUUCAACCGGAAGUUCCACGCGGGUUAACACUGUACAAACGGAAGAACGUCUUCGUGUGAGCAACAGAUCGCUGGUGGCUAAUAGCCCGUGGAAAGAGGGACACAUCACAUUUACUGCAUUUUCACAAGGUUUAACGCUGUCCAACCGAAGUAACGUAAUGUCUUCAUGUGAAUAACUGCCAUAAUGUCCAGAAGAUGUAAGAGGAUACGGCCUGCAGACGAAGCAAGGUCUUAUAUUUUGUCUUCAAGUGACAAGCCAGAGUUUGUGGAACGAUUUAUUGAUAGAAACAAAGGUAGAGGAGUGUUUUCUACCCAGCCUGUUGAACCGGGAGCUUUUGUCUUAGAAUAUAGGGGGGAACUCAUCACAGCAGAGGAAUGCCAGGCCAGAAACUACACAGAGUUACAGAGCACAUUUCUGUUUGAUUUUGAAUGGCAGCAACGUCACUGGUGUAUUGAUGCAUCCAAAGAAGAUGGAUCCCUUGGAAGACUGUGUAAUGACAAUCACAAAUCUCCCAACUGCUCUAUGAAAAAAAUCAUAGUAAAUAACAGGCCACAUUUAUGUCUAUUUGCCGUGAAAAGAAUUGAAAUAGGAAGUGAAAUUGAAUAUAACUAUGGUGAUGCACAAUGGCCAUGGCGUAACAAGGUGAGUUAGAUUAGUCAUGU